rnacentral:rRNA from 1 species
AGUGAACGCUGGCGGCAGGCUUAACACAUGCAAGUCGAACGCAUCACUUCGGUGGUGAGUGGCAGACGGGUGAGUAACACGUGGGAACGUACCCUUCGAUCUGGGAUAACUUCGGGAAACUGGAGCUAAUACCGGAUACGCCCUUUUGGGGAAAGGUUUACUGUCGAAGGAUCGGCCCGCGUCUGAUUAGCUAGUUGGUGGGGUAACGGCCUACCAAGGCGACGAUCAGUAGCUGGUCUGAGAGGAUGAUCAGCCACACUGGGACUGAGACACGGCCCAGACUCCUACGGGAGGCAGCAGUGGGGAAUAUUGGACAAUGGGCGCAAGCCUGAUCCAGCCAUGCCGCGUGAGUGAUGAAGGCCUUAGGGUUGUAAAGCUCUUUUGUCCGGGACGAUAAUGACGGUACCGGAAGAAUAAGCCCCGGCUAACUUCGUG